AUACUGCAUUCUACUUUGGCUCAACACAGGAGCAGCAACUGAGAUAAGAAUUGAUCAUUCUUGUCUCUGCUUCUCUCAGGUUCAGAGAAUGUGAAUCCCAUGCCCUGGGACCCCCUGAGCAGGGAGUGCCCCCCAUGCUGAUCUGUGCCACCCUGAGCUGGGGCCAGCCAAAAUUAACCCAAAACCCCCAGACACAGGAGAUAGCUGCAGCCUGUCCUGAUCAAGGAGACAAGAGCAAAUCCUUGUUAAGAAAACACGUAACAGAGAUAAUUGACUUUCUCAAUGUCAUUGUGCUUAAUGUGUAAAGAAAUUAAGGCAUCUGAUUUAUCCUUUAGUAAGGUGAACAGAGUCAACAGAAUGCAGAAUGAACAUCCCAGAGGAAGUUUUGUGCAAAAGGACUCACUGAAGUUAAAGAACGGAGAAUUUCCAAGGCUGCGAUUACAGAAAUAGAUUGAAACAAAAGUAAGGGAGGAGGAAGAGAAGAGAGAAGGUGAAGGUCACAUUAAAAGAAAAAGCCUUUAGCUUUUGUUCUGAAUAAUUUCAAGUCUUUCAGUUCUCCUAUCUUGCUCCCCUCUUAACCUCAGACUCUUUCCCAUUACAUAUAUUUAUAUUUUGAAAUUCUGCUAAGUAAAGGGAAAGAAGAUAACAAUCUUUGCAGGGAAAAUGCCUAUUUCCUUUGGAAAAAUAAUCUUUAGCACUAUUCUGAAAUACAAAUGGUGUAUUUCUGGUGCAGCUUCAACCAAACUGAAGUAAGAGCAGUGUGAAAGCUUGAAUGAGUACAAGUCAUUAUUUUCCUUUUACAAACUCUUUUGUAUGAAUAACUGCAAAAAGAUGAUAAUUAACUUGUAACUUAGUACACCUGAAAUAUAAGACAAUUCUUCCACCCUGGAAGAGUUGCAGUGUGUGUAUGUUUGUGUGUAAACUCACAGGUACACAAAAGCAUGUAAUUAUUGAUUACAAAUUAUCUCAAGUGACUAUUUGAGCCCAGCCAAAUGCUAAGUUUGGGGUUUUUUCAGUCUGAAGUCACUGAAAUAUGCAUGAAUGGAACUGAUAUGGUUGCAGCAUUGAUAUGUGUCCAACACGGUGCUCUUAAAUUAUACCAAGGAACAGAGAGAUAAGAUGUGGGCUGUAUUUCUAGAAUAAUGAACAUGAUAAAAGGUUAGGCCUUUUGUUAUAUUUCUUCUGAAAUAUGCAAUUUGUUACAAGUUAUAUUGUCUGUGCAAAGAAUCCCUACUGCAACUCUAAUGUGGUUUUUUACUAUCAAAAACAUAAAAGCACAUCAGAACACAUCAUGUGCAAACCAUGGCAUUAAACAGAUUAGAAAACUAAAUGUCAUACUGUAACAUGACCGGGGUUUCUGCAGCUAAUUUACAAGAAAGGCAGAAGAACUCUGCAGGAAGCACUUUCUCCAAAUAUGCACCCUGCAGCUAAAAUACCUCAUAUACCUUAUUGUUCUUUCAGAGUAAAAAAAAAGGAAAGAAAAAAACCCUUGACUAAAGUGAUAAAUUUAAAGCUUGUGUGAAUUUUAAGAUGACUAAAUGAAUUCUGUGUGAGAUCUGUGUAUUGCAAGCAAAAAAAAAUCACAGCAGUCUUAGCUAUAAAAUACUUUUGUAAUCUACCAUUCAAUUGUUUGCACUGCAGUUGUACUGAAAUAUUUGCAAUUGUAUGAAUGCUUCAAUUACCAGUAAACUUUUUAUUUAAUUCCUAUUUAAUUGUACUUUCCCCUGUGCCCCUCAUGACACUGCACUUCUGUUAGCACCCCAGGGAAAAGAGACUGCAGCACAGCCCACUGCAGCCACAAAGAUACAGUUUUGCUUUACUUACUAAGAAAAAUGUUGGAAUUUCAAAUCUGGUUUGCUGCUAGAUCUGGAGGAGUUAAACAAGACUCUCUACACUCUUGAAGAGACUUAAGUAAAAGGCCAUCAGUCUUCUUAAUUAAGCCUUUUCCUCUAAGCACUGCCUGAAAGCACCUUAGUUGCCUUUUCAAGCUCUCACCUGAUUCUAAUUAAGCUCCUUGGAACAUUAACCUGGCUUUUUCCUCAUGAUUCAUCUCAUUAGGAGAAAAAGGAAAAAAGCAGAUUGGAAGCCAAAACCUCUCACCUUGGUCCCAGUUCUAAGGAAGUUGUCCCAACCACCUGGUGAUGGAGCCAAUGUCUCACUUUGACACUGGAAUGAGCAGAACAGAGCAGAAAUUAUUCACCCAAAGGCCUAUGACAGGAAAAUUAGCAGAUGAUGAGGACAUGCUGCCAAGAGGAAAGGGAAGUUCAAAAGACAUGAGUGGAAUUUCUUGCAUCUGUAAGUUGGGAGGUGAACAGAAAGCUCCCAAGCACCUUGGUGUGACACUUUUACAAAAAUGUGAGGAGUCCCAGAUACCCUAAAACUCCAUUUCUUGGGGAGUAAAUAGUUCACCAUCCCCAGGCUUCACCUGCUUUAUUAGCAUGUGAAAAACACUCUUUAGUUAUUUUCAUUGAAAAUGAUGUAACAGAUAAAUCUCCACUCCCAAGUUAAUUUAUUAGAGUCAGUCCUACAAACUUAAUUUCUAUAAACUUAUCAAUCAACAUCUUGGUCAUAAAAGCUUUGGUUUACACCAGGUAUUUACAGCAGCUCCUGAUUGCAAGGACACCAGCAUUCUUUGUACUCGUUCUGUUCAAAUAGUCUUUGUCUAAUGCCUUCAGAAAUUGUUCCAAAGCUGAGAUAUUCCUCAGAGAAGACAUGAAGAAGGAAACCUGUUGUUCAAGUUACCCCUCUGAAUAAAGAAGAUCCAAGAGUACUGAAGAGCUUAGAGUAGUGGAGAUAAUUGUUUGUGCAAUGUAGAGUAUGAGUAACAAACUGUUCAAUUGUUGGACACCAAACCUCUGUCUGUUUUGUGUCUUCUGUGGCAUAAUAUGCACCAAACAUAAUUUCUCUUUCUUUGUUUUCCCAGGUUUCCUCUCUGCUUGCUUCUUUUUCAAUGAACAUGUCCUUUCAGUGUAAGGUGCUGAAAGUACAGAAUAGAUAAGAGCAGAAAUGAAAAUGAAUUCUACUUUUUCUUCUUAUGAAAUAUUUUCUUCUAUGAAGGAAGUAUGAUAAAAUUCUGGUAUUAAACAGAUAGUUAGAAGCUGCUAUUGCAAUUCAGAAUUUUUGUUCUAAUUCUAUGACAUUAACAGGAAAAAAAGAUGACAGUCCCUAUGAAAAAUAGUCAUUCCUUAAGUAUCAUGUUUGUCUGAAGUAUCAUGAAUUCUACUGAGCAGUGCAAUAUUACACCUAAUACCUGUUAUACCUGAGCAUGAAUAUUCACAGUUAGAUGCAUCAUUAUGCAGCCCUGAGUAUAAAGUGACAGCAUAAACAGCCAUCAGUCAUUUUUUUUGUGUAUGAAACCUUCCUGAAAUUAAGAUCAGCUAAAUUGGAAUCAGAUGUAAUAUCAGCCAAAAUUCAAUUAGUACUUGCUUUUAUUUCCACCUUCCUUCAAAAAUCAAGUUUUGAGCAGAGUGAGAGAAAGCAGCUUCUUUAGUUUUAUCACAGCUAAAUAUUUUCUAAAUCUGAUUUUGUAGAAAAAUAGACUGACCUAUUCAAUCACACCAGAAAAACCAGUAACAUAAUAUCUUGUUAUUCAGGUAACAAAGUAAUAGGGAAAAAAGGGGAAAAAAAUUAAUCCAGGGUUAUAAGUAUAUCAAAAGCCCACAGAUUCAUAAAAUAUUUGAUGCUUUUGCAUAGAAUAAUUUUUAAGAACAGGCAGAUAUCUUGCUGCUGAGUAUUUCUUUUCAUGAGUAGAACUUCUGCUUGUCAUGUUGGUGAAAUUGGAUUCUGAGGUUUUUGGAAAAAAAAAAUCCAGUCUGGGUGUCACAUUAAACUCCAGAAAAAUAGUGAAGUUCGAUA